AGAGUUUGAUCCUGGCUCAGGAUGAACGCUGGCGGCGUGCUUAACACAUGCAAGUCGAACGGAGCGCCGGACACGGACUAUUUCGGUAGGAAGCGUGCUGAGGCUUAGUGGCGGACGGGUGAGUAACGCGUGGAUAACCUGCCGCAUACCGGGGGAUAACAGCUGGAAACAGCUGCUAAUACCGCAUAUGCCCGCAGUGCCGCAUGGCACAGCGGGGAAAACUCCGGUGGUAUGCGAUGGGUCCGCGUCUGAUUAGGCAGUUGGCGGGGUAACGGCCCACCAAACCGACGAUCAGUAGCCGGCCUGAGAGGGCGGACGGCCACACUGGGACUGAGACACGGCCCAGACUCCUGCGGGAGGCAGCAGUGGGGAAUAUUGCACAAUGGGGGAAACCCUGAUGCAGCGACGCCGCGUGAAGGAAGAAGUAUCUCGGUAUGUAAACUUCUAUCAGCAGGGAAGAAAACAGACGGUACCUGACUAAGAAGCCCCGGCUAACUACGUGCCAGCAGCCGCGGUAAUACGUAGGGGGCAAGCGUUAUCCGGAUUUACUGGGUGUAAAGGGGGCGCAGACGGCCAUGGCAAGCCCGGUGUGAAAGGCAGGGUCAUAACCCCUGGACUGCACUGGGAACUGUCAGGCUGGAGUGCCGGAGGGGUAAGCGGAAUUCCUGGUGUAGCGGUGAAAUGCGUAGAUAUCAGGAGGAACACCGGCGGCGAAGGCGGCUUACUGGACGGCAACUGACGUUGAGGCCCGAAAGCGUGGGGAGCGAACAGGAUUAGAUACCCUGGUAGUCCACGCCGUAAAACGAUGUAUACCAGGUGUCGGAUAUCAAGGAUAUCCGGUGCCGAAGCAAACGCAUUAAGUAUACCA
rnacentral:rRNA from 1 species